CCCCACUAGCCCGUAGCGGCGGCCAGCUACGAUGUACAGGUCUGCGUUGACAAAUAACUCCUUGCCGUGGGCCGAGAUACUGAACUUUUCCAGCUGUCGUCAUCAGGGAAACAGUGGCAGAGGGAAGGAAUUUUAUUUAUUUGAGAGAGCAAAAGUGAGAGAGAUCACAGAGGGAGAGGGAGAAGCAGACUCGCCGCUGAGCAGGGAGCCCGAUGCAGAACUCGAUCCCAGGACCCUGAGAUCAUGACCUGAGCUGAAGGCAGAUGCUUAACCAACUGAGCCACCCAGAUUUUAUUUGAGAGAGAGAGUGCGCGGGCACAUGCACAAGCACGGGGGCAGCAGGCAGAGGGAGAAGCAGGCCCCCCACUGAGCAAGGAGCCUGACGCGGAACUCGAUCCCAGGACCC